rnacentral:lncRNA from 1 species
UGAAAUGCAUUUUGAUAUAUUUAAAAUAGGUUAUAAAUGGUGCACUAAGUGCAGAUGGAGAGAUAAUUGUUAUUCUUGCCAAACACAGCUUUAGAAUAAAAGUGUAUCAGUAGGAAAUCAAAACUCAGCUUAGUGGUUAGAUACGUGGCUUUUAACUAGAGAUAAUGACCCAGUAAUUUAGCAGAUGCUGGCAAAUAUUUAUUAUCCUAGCUCUACAAUUCAUCUUGGCUAUAACGUGAUUAACCGAGCUAGUAUGCUUAUAUAGCAGAGCUUCAAAUUCUUAAGGUCAGUUCUCUCUUAAGUAAAACACAAUUAGUGAUAUACAACUCUGAAAUUUCUCCGAGCUGGAUUAAGCAAAUAAGAGUUAGAAGAAUACCCAAAUUUUUGGGAUUAUUGAGGAAGAAGAGCAGAAGCAAAAUACAACGGAAGCUAACGUCACAGUGAAGUUGAAAAUUCAAAGGUAAUUCUCUCUAUAUCGUGUAUAUACAGAUGCAUGUAUAUGAAAGGAGUGUGUUGAUUGAUGGUGAAUUUUUGGUUGAUGAAAGUCUUUAUGAGUUAUAUGUCUGUGAUGUUGAGUUAGUUGGUCGUAAAGUAAAUGGGUAAGUUUAAUUUUUUUUUUUUAGCAAUCGAUCAUGAAUGGGUUAUUGAAACUCACUGUUUGCUAAUAUCAAACUUUUAGAUUAAAGGAAGGCUAGUAUGUAUUUGUUUAUUUUGUUUAUGAUAAAUAUAUUUGGCUAAAUUGUGAAACCAACUGCUAUGAAAAUAGUGUUUUAGAACAGUAAGUAUAAGAUGUUUGUUAGAAGGUUUUAAUGAACUGAUUUGCUCAACAAUUGCUUAUUUAUCAGAGUUUAAGUUUGGGUUAUAUAUAUAUAUGCCAUGUAUCAGGGUAAGUAACUUUUAUGCCUUGUUUAAUGGAAGGAAAACUAUUUUUUUUUUUUUNNNNNNNNNNNNNNNNNNNNNNNNNNNNNNNNNNNNNNNNNNNNNNNNNNNNNNNNNNNNNNNNNNNNNNNNNNNNNNNNNNNNNNNNNNNNNNNNNNNNGGAUUUUGAUAUGUCAAUUUGUGUUGGCAAACUGUUUUGAGCAGUUUAAAAUGUUGAAGCUUGUAUGUUUUGUUAUUUGAUUGCUAUCAGACCUAAAUCUACUGACACUUGGUAAUUAUGUAGCAAGCAAAAGAAGGGCGCUGGGGUGAUUUGAGUUGGCCGGGGCUGCUGCAGGCAGCAGCAGCUAGCGCCCAGCGCUGUGCUGCGCUAUGCUGCAGAGCCAGUCUGGCAGUUUGUCACUAAUUUGGUUUGCAUGUUAUAUGUAAUGGCUGUCAUGUGCAGGUUAUUUUAAGAAGUGGGUGCUCUAUUUUAUUUUUCUAGUAAAGGGUGAAAAUAACUUUAUCAUUAGAAGGCCAAAAAUGACAAGAACUAAGAACAGAGCUGCUGCCCAUGGCAGCAGCAGUGGCUGAGUAUAGCCUUGGGUGGGAAGUCCUUUAUUGGUGCCGGCCAGCUUGUGUCUCUUUGUAAUUGAUAUAUAUGUAUCAGCUAUGCAAUCCUCCAAAAACAUGUGCUAACAGAUUAGAAUAAAAUGGGGAAAAAUGAAACUAGGUAAGACAUGGAAUCAGCAAAGUAGAAGGCUGAUGCCCACUGGCAGUAGCAGUUAGUCCAUCCGGCAACAAGAGGUUAAUAGCAGAUGGGAAAUCUCAUUUAAUUUCCAUGUAUAGGUUAAAAGCUUAAAAACAAGAAUGAGAUGAGAUUUAUGUAAGCAAGCAAGCUAAUUUGGAGGUUUAGCUGCUGCCCUGAAACAGCAGCGUGUACUAAUACAACAACAAGUACAAGCCUUAGAUUGCUAACAGUAGAAAAAAAAGAAGAAGCCAGUUAGUUUUGUUUUGUAACUCACGCAAUGCGCGGUGUAUAAUAUUAGAUAAUUGUUAUGGCAGUUUUGGAACAACUCGACUUGUAUUGAAACCACUGCACAUUUGCAGAAAUAGUUAUUAACUAACCACUAAUGCAAUGCUAAGCUAUAAAGUCAGAUAUAGUUGACUAAUAACAUGAAAAAUAAAAUGUUAAGAAAUUGUUAAUGCAUGUAAGUGAGCUUCUCGACCCAUUUAGCUAAAUUAUAAUAAAGAACAAAUAUAUAUAUAUAUAUAUAAAAGAAGUAAAGGAGAUAUGAACUAAAUUAUGAGAGAUUCAUAAACAGAAAUUAUGUUAGACCUUAUAAAAGAAAAAAAAGGCUAUUAUAAGAACAUGAGUGAGAUAUUUGAAAAAUGUAUCUUAAGUAUGAAGUUAUCAACUAAAUGAUCACUGUGAUUAUGUGAUAUGUGCACAUAUGAGCUACAUGACUUGUUUAUUUGGCUAAUAUGCUUGUAAAUGCAAAUAAUUGUGUAGGAUCUGUGAGAUACACAAGUUAAGUUGAAAUUGUACAAAUAGUCUACAAGCAAGGCAAGUAUCUAAAUCUUACUCUUUAUUGAGCAAGUAUUUUGAGAUUAUUCAUAUGUUGACAGGUUCUCUAAUUUCUAAACUGUCUUUCAUUAUUUAUGAAUAUUGUAAGAUUGAAUAAUCUUUUUAUUCCAAUCAGCUUCAAAAGAUUGGGUAAGCUAUUAUCUUAUGCAUGAGCAGGUUGCAAAAAAGUCUGAGCCAUUCCUUUUGGCCAGACACAGCUAUGAAAUAUUUCAGUUUCUUUAUAUUAGUCUUGAAAUAUUAUUGUGCCAUGAUUUAAGUUGUCCAGCUAUAUUGUUGUAAUUGGAAUCUAAAACUGAGAAUGAACAUACCCUUAAAUGGGAUAUUUUUAUUGCACUCUGGGAGUGGUGAUGUAGAACAUGAAAAUUGUUCUAGAAAAGAUAGUAUUGUUCAAUACAGGGCAUAAAGGGUUGAUCACCCUACGUGCUCGUAAGUUAAGACGGUUCAUCUGAUAAAAUUUCUGAUUGAACCUUUUCAAGAAAAGAAAAAUAUGUUCAUGGUCUUAAAACCUCUCAGUUAUUCAAUGUUAUGAUAUUUCAGAAAUAUGAAUGACUCAAGAUUUAUUGCUUUACAGAUUUGAUUCACUGUCAAAGCAUGCUUCAAUGAAAAUAUUUAUUUCUUGUUGAGCCUUAAAAAAUGCUAUUAUUUGCUGAGUAAUUAAAUGCUCAUACUUGUUUUAUUAUAAAUGUUUUCAGCUGAGUAGACUCGGGCAGAAGGGUCUGGAAAAGGCAAGGGAAAAGGAAAAAUAGUAGAAUAGCUGAGGGUUGAUGUAAUAGUUGGUUUACAUGUUUUAAAUACUAAACUAUCAUGUAAUAAACGUGUAAAGGUCUACGUAUCUGGGACUAGAAGAACUUUGAUGUAAUAACUUUACUAGUUUAUGAUUAUUGUGUUCUGAACCUUUUAUAUUGUGAGCACUGAAUAAGGGUUUCAAGUAUCCGAAUUUGGGGGCGUCACAGAUUGGGCUGAAGAAUCUAAGCUCUAUGGUCUUUAUAUCAUCCUCAUUUGAAGUGGCUGAGAAAUGAUUAGAACUAGGGUUUUAAAAAAUUAUCGAAAUUGGCUUCGAUUAGGGGUGUAACAUUAAGGCUUUUGUUGGGUUUUUGCUUUUCAGGUUAGUGCGAACCAAGCGUUGAUCUUAUAUGAUUACAUCACGUUCAAGAUCUGCGUCAAUUGCUUCAAAACAGCGGAUGUAUUUUUGUUUCCAAAAAGGAUGGAUCAAGAGUAAGAAGAUUUUAUAGCUACCGCAAUUAUGGGGUAAGUGUCCUUUCCUUAUUUGUUGUGAAUUCAGUCAUCUCUCAUCUGUUUUGAUUUUUUUUUCCUUUUUCCAUUUUUGAUAGGAUUUUGUGAGAUAUUGUGACUAUUUGUGAAUGAUUGGAAUUGCCUUGUAAUGAAGAUGAAGCAAUGGAAUGUGAUGAAUAACAAAAUUGAAGAAUUGAGCUUACUGAAAAAUAUGAAAAGGGAAACACUUAAAUGGAAGAUGGAGAUUGAUAGGCUUAAAGAGGCAAUUCAACAAUAAAUCAAUUAAGUUUUCUUUUGUUUUUGAGUUUAUAAAAUAAAAUGUGAUUUUUGAAUUUAGAUUACUGCUUAAGAAUUUGGAAGGAGGGUCCAUUUAAGCCUGCAAGUAAUGAGUAAUUCAAGGACCGUGAGCUAUACAAAUCAUUUCCCCACGUCAAUUUUAAGUCGGUGAACAUGGAUGGACUAAUGGAUAAUGUCAGUUAUUGAAAAGCCCGCGUAAAAUGAAAAGUUAGCCUGUUAGGUGGGAAUUAUUAAUAAUAAUGCGUAUGAAUGAGGUUGUGCCACGACUUUGAAAUACUCCCCAUCUUAUAAUAAAAAGAGUCUCAUUUAAAUUUUUUUAAAUUAUAAAUUUAAUAGUUAUGUGAAUUUAUUUAAGUAUUUAAAAUAAUAAAUCUAAUUAAUAUUAUUUUUUAGAUAAUUUAUAAUAUUUGUAAUUAAAUUAGGGGAAAAUAUUUGAAUUUAUAUCAAUUUUUAAAUUUGAAAAUUG